AGCUCCAAUAGCGUAUAUUAAAGUUGUUGCGGUAAAAGCUCGUAGUUGGAUUUCUGUUGAGAGAAAACGGUCCAUACCACGUAUGCGUAUCUGUCUUUCUCUCGGCAUCUUCUCGGACAUCGUUGCUGCGCUUGAUUGCGUGGUGCGAAUCUCGGGACUUUUACUUUGAGGAAAUUAGAGUGUUCACGGCAGGCUAUCGCCAGAAUACAUUAGCAUGGAAUAAUACUAUAGGAUCUUGGUUCUAUUUUGUUGGUUUCUAGAAUUAAGAUAAUGAUUAAUAGGGACAAUUGGGGGCAUUCGUAUCAACACGUCAGAGGUGGAAUUCUUGGAUUGUGUUGCGACGAACUACUGCGAAAGCAUUUGCCAAGGAUGUUUUCAUUGAUCAAGAACG
rnacentral:rRNA from 1 species